rnacentral:rRNA from 1 species
UGGGGAAUAUUGGACAAUGGGCGAAAGCCUGAUCCAGCAAUGCCGCGUGAGUGAAGAAGGCCUUAGGGUUGUAAAACUCUUUCGCCGGUGAAGAUGAUGACUGUAACCGGUAAAGAAGCUCCGGCUAACUCCGUGCCAGCAGCCGCGGUAAUACGGAGGGGGCUAGCGUUGUUCGGAAUUACUGGGCGUAAAGCGCACGUAGGCGGUUUAUCUAGUUAGGCGUGAAAGCCCCAGGCUCAACCUGGGAACUGCGUUUAAUACUGGUAGACUAGAGACCGAGAGAGGAUGGCGGAAUUCCCAGUGUAGAGGUGAAAUUCGUAGAUAUUGGGAAGAACACCGGUUGCGAAGGCGGCCAUCUGGAUCGGAACUGACGCUGAGGUGCGAAAGCGUGGGGAGCGAACAGG